rnacentral:rRNA from 1 species
UACGUAGGGUGCGAGCGUUAAUCGGAAUUACUGGGCGUAAAGCGUGCGCAGGCGGUUUUGUAAGCCAGAUGUGAAAUCCCCGGGCUCAACCUGGGAACUGCAUUUGGGACUGCAAGGCUAGAGUACGGCAGAGGGGGGGUAGAAUUCCUGGUGUAGCAGUGAAAUGCGUAGAUAUCAGGAGGAAUACCGAUGGCGAAGGCAGCCCCCUGGGUCGAUACUGACGCUCAUGCACGAAAGCGUGGGGAGCAAACAGG